rnacentral:sRNA from 1 species
AAAAAUCUUUAAAAAAAAACGAAGAAUAAAACCUUGACUGAUGCAUAAAAAUGGUGGUGGUUUAUGUGCUGAAGACGAUGGUGCU